CGCAAUGGCGGAGGGGAGCGGCGUCUGCAGCUUCGUGUUCAAGAAGCGGGUCCGAGCCGCGGGCAGCGGCCGGCGAAAACGGCCCGGCAGCGACCAGGAGCGGGAGAGCAGCGGGGACGAGGGCAGCACCGUGGUGCGGAAGGAGCGGCGGCGGGACGCCCCCAACCCCAUGAUCCAGAAGACCAGGCGCUGCGCGAGGGACAGGCCGGAGUACGCCCCGAGCAGCAGCGAGGAUGAGGAUCCUGCCAAGGAGAUCGGCGUCACCUACAAAUCCACCAGGUCGGCGAAACCUGUUGGCCCAGAGGACAUGGGAGCCACAGCAGUGUAUGAACUGGACACAGAGAAGGAGAAGGAUGCCCAGGCCAUCUUUGAGCGCAGCCAGAAAAUCCAGGAGGAGCUGAGAGGAAAGGAAGAUGAUAAAAUUUACCGUGGUAUUAACAACUACCAGAAGUAUGUGAAGCCCAAGGACACAUCGAUGGGAAAUGCCUCUUCAGGAAUGGUCAGGAAAGGCCCCAUCCGUGCUCCGGAGCACCUGCGGGCCACGGUGCGCUGGGACUACCAGCCUGACAUCUGCAAGGACUACAAAGAGACCGGGUUCUGCGGCUUCGGGGACAGCUGCAAGUUCCUGCACGACCGCUCGGACUACAAGCACGGCUGGCAGAUCGAACGGGAGCUGGACGAAGGCCGCUACGGCGUCAAUGACGAUGAAAACUACGAGGUGAGCAGUGAUGAGGAGGACAUGCCUUUCAAAUGCUUCAUCUGCAGAGGCUCUUUCAAGAACCCCGUGGUCACCAAUCACCUGUGUGUCUCUGUCCAGGUGUCGGCACUACUUCUGUGAGAGCUGUGCCCUGCAGCACUACCGCAAAUCCCAGCGCUGCUACGUCUGUGACAAACAAACCAACGGGGUCUUCAACCCUGCAAAAGAGCUCAUGGCAAAAUUGGAAAAACACAAAGGGGAGGAGGAGCAACAGUCAGAGCCUGAAGAGGACCCACAGUAGCAGAACACAUUUUGUACAUAAGUGAAUAAAGUUUUUGUAGGAGAAAAAAA